AACGAACGCUGGCGGCAGGCUUAACACAUGCAAGUCGAGCGCCCCGCAAGGGGAGCGGCAGACGGGUGAGUAACGCGUGGGAAUCUACCCAUCUCUACGGAAUAACGCAUGGAAACGUGUGCUAAUACCGUAUACGUCCUUCGGGAGAAAGAUUUAUCGGAGAUGGAUGAGCCCGCGUUGGAUUAGCUAGUUGGUGGGGUAAAGGCCUACCAAGGCGACGAUUCAUAGCUGGUCUGAGAGGAUGAUCAGCCACACUGGGACUGAGACACGGCCCAGACUCCUACGGGGGGCAGCAGUGGGGAAUAUUGGACAAUGGGCGCAAGCCUGAUCCAGCCAUGCCGCGUGAGUGAUGAAGGCCCUAGGGUUGUAAAGCUCUUUCACCGGUGAAGAUAAUGACGGUAACCGGAGAAGAAGCCCCGGCUAACUUCGUGCCAGCAGCCGCAGUAACAC
rnacentral:rRNA from 1 species